CCAGCGGCCGCGGUAAUACCAGCUCCUCGAGUGGUCGGGACGAUUAUUGGGCCUAAAGCACCCGUAGCCUGUUCAGUAAGUCCUCUGUUAAAUCCAACYGCUCAACGGUUGGCACGCAGAGGAUACYGCUGGACUAGGAGGCGGGAGAGGCGGACGGUACUCCGCGUGUAGGGGUAAAAUCCUUUGAUCCGCGGAAGACCACCAGUGGCGAAGGCGGUCCGCCAGAACGCGCUCGACGGUGAGGGGUGAAAGCUGGGGGAGCGAACCGGAUUAGAUACCCGGGUAGUCCCAGCCGUAAACGAUGCGAGCUAGAUGAUUCRAUUGCWGUUCGCAAUCGAAGUGUCGCAGGGAAGCCGUUAAGCUCGCCGCCUGGGGAGUACGGUCGCAAGGCUGAAUUGUCGGCGAUGUCUUUCGCCCGGC
rnacentral:rRNA from 1 species